GAUGAACGCUGGCGGCGUGCCUAAUACAUGCAAGUCGAGCGAACGGACGAGAAGCUUGCUUCUCUGAUGUUAGCGGCGGACGGGUGAGUAACACGUGGAUAACCUACCUAUAAGACUGGGAUAACUUCGGGAAACCGGAGCUAAUACCGGAUAAUAUUUUAAACCGCAUGGUUCAAAAGUGAAAGACGGUCUUGCUGUCACUUAUAGAUGGAUCUGCGCUGCAUUAGCUAGUUGGUAAGGUAACGGCUUACCAAGGCAACGAUGCAUAGCCGACCUGAGAGGGUGAUCGGCCACACUGGAACUGAGACACGGUCCAGACUCCUACGGGAGGCAGCAGUAGGGAAUCUUCCGCAAUGGGCGAAAGCCUGACGGAGCAACGCCGCGUGAGUGAUGAAGGUCUUCGGAUCGUAAAACUCUGUUAUUAGGGAAGAACAUAUGUGUAAGUAACUGUGCACAUCUUGACGGUACCUAAUCAGAAAGCCACGGCUAACUACGUG
rnacentral:rRNA from 1 species